rnacentral:rRNA from 1 species
UACGGGGGCAGCAAGCGUUGUUCGGAUUUACUGGGCGUAAAGGGCGCGUAGGCGGCGCAACAAGUCACUUGUGAAAUCUCAGAGCUUAACUCUGAACGGUCAAGUGAUACUGUCGUGCUAGAGUGCAGAAGGGGCAACUGGAAUUCUCGGUGUAGCGGUGAAAUGCGUAGAUAUCGGUAGGAACACCAGUGGCGAAGGCGGUCUCCUGGGGCAUUCUUGACGCUGAGGCGCGAAAGCUGGGGGAGCAAACGGG